rnacentral:rRNA from 1 species
GACGAACGCUGGCGGCGUGCCUAAUACAUGCAAGUUGAGCGAUGAAGAUUGGUGCUUGCACCAAUUUGAAGAGCAGCGAACGGGUGAGUAACGCGUGGGGAAUCUGCCUUUGAGCGGGGGACAACAUUUGGAAACGAAUGCUAAUACCGCAUAACAACUUUAAACAUAAGUUUUAAGUUUGAAAGAUGCAAUUGCAUCACUCAAAGAUGAUCCCGCGUUGUAUUAGCUAGUUGGUGAGGUAAAGGCUCACCAAGGCGAGGAUACAUAGCCGACCUGCGAGGAUGAUCGGCCACAUUGGGAGGGAGACACGGCACAAACGGAUACGGGAAGCAGCCGUAGGGAAUCGUCGGGAAUGGAUGAAAGUCUGAGCGAGAAACGCCGAGGGAGGGAAGAAGGAUGUCGGGUCGGAAAAGUCUGUUGGUAGAGAAGAACGUUGGUGAGAGUGGGAAGCUCAGAAAGUGACGGUAACUACCCAGAAAGGGACGGCUAACUACGUG